ACCAACGAGCCACGUGUCUUACUCAAAUCAGUUUAAAACACCAAAGACGCGAUGACAAAGAUUUCAUGGACUGGUCUUACCUUCUGAGAAAACGAUGCCUGCUCCCUUCCCUUGGCACACAGGAUGAAAGAUCUGCGGCAGGAGAGGGUUGGCGCAAACGGCUACAACGCUUGUCUCAGCGAGGCGAGGGCUAACGCUCUGGUCUACAUCCAUCAGCUCCUUCAGCUGCUUCACCGUCUCCAAGGGGAAGCUCCUGUCUCCAACCUGGAGGGGAGGGAACAAGAAGAACUUCAAGGGAUGACACAAAUCUGGCACAAUUAAAAUCUUCCAAGUGCAGGUGGAAUGAA